AAGAAAUUCACACAAAAAACAAACAAACAAUCGUGAUGCAUAAUGAUUCUUCCAAUAAAACAAGAAAUUCACACAAAAAACAAACAAACAAAUGUGAUGCAUAAUGAUUCUUUCCAUUCAAUCAGUGCAUCAAUAAACUCAACAGGGGCUCCCCUACUGUUCAGGGCCAAACACAAAUUCCAUCGCAAUUUCACUCCAGGUGACAAGGCUGUAGACUCGCCUGACGGCUGUAGAGGAUCGUUCCUGCCAGGCCUUGUCUCUGUGCAGGGUGGCCCAGUGGUUGUCUGACAGACACAAAUCUUUUUAUUUUUUUGCCUCUACUAACGGCACCUCUUUCAUUUCUUACCUACACAAUAUUGGUCUACAAAUAAUCAUUUCUUGCCUGCAGGAUAUUCAUCUAAAAGACUUGCUUACCUGCAGAAUAUUGGUCUAAAAGAUCUACAAAUAAAUCUGCAGUUUCAUUUUUGGGACUUCUUUAACCACAUAACCUAGUCGUAGUCUCGUUGCUCCAGAACAAUUCAACAAGAUUAGUAAUAACUAAAACUGCGACAAAACCAUUGGUAAAGCAGUAAAUGAUCCUGAUACUUCAUUUUUGGGACUUCUUUAACCACAUAACCUAGUCGUAGUCUCGUUGCUCCAGAACAAUUCAACAAGAUUAGUAAUAACUAAAACUGCGACAAAACCAUUGGUAAAGCAGUAAAUGAUCCUGAUACGCACUGGCAACUGAUGAGCGUUUCAAGCUUGAAAACAACAAAAAGAAAUGUUUGCUUGCUUGAUUUCUUCUGUGAAUCUGAAGACUCUAAACCAAUACAAAACUGAGCUGGGAUGAAGCUGGCAUGCAAGAAAUUCACACAAAAAACAAACAAACAAUCGUGAUGCAUAAUGAUUCUUCCAAUAAAACAAGAAAUUCACACAAAAAACAAACAAACAAAUGUGAUGCAUAAUGAUUCUUUCCAUUCAAUCAGUGCAUCAAUAAACUCAACAGGGGCUCCCCUACUGUUCAGGGCCAAACACAAAUUCCAUCGCAAUUUCACUCCAGGUGACAAGGCUGUAGACUCGCCUGACGGUAACGGAGCCUUCAGUUCUACAUCUCACUAAAAGAAAAAGAAAAAGAAAACUCGCUUCUAAUCCUCGACCAGCAAGACCAUUUGCUUCAAAGCAAUGAGACAUUGCUGGGAGGAAGAACUAGAUGUUCGGAGGCGACACCACAGAAUCUCUCUUCUUCUCAUUCCAAAGCCAACUGGGGAUAACUGAGCUAGAGAUUCAACCAUCAGCGGUACAGUAAAGGGACUUGGUCUGGGACUGGUGCGGGGGUUUCCCUCUGCAGGUUUCCUUCUCGACAAAUCCCGCUACAAGAAAGAUGAUAGAUAGAUUGUACAGCUUUCAGCGUUUCUUCUUAUAACUGUCCAGACGUAGCUUCAGCUGCAGAGAUAAGAAUCAAUCAGCUCAGAUUCAAACAGUGAAUACGCGGCACAAACUAAAGUAAAAUUGACGGGCCAAUGGAGCAAAACUAUGACGAUCAGGCAAUCUUGCAUGAGGCCUGGUUGAGACUUGAUGUGUGUUGAUCCUUGCCCCAGAAAAAUAAAACACACCGAGAUUAUCCAUCACAUGGACAUCAUUGUCUCUUUGCAUGACAGGCUCUCAAGAACCCAGCGAACUGGCUUACAGCACCAACAUAUUCGGUAUUACAUGAUGCCACCAUCGGCGCUCGAUCGACCCCAAACUUUGUUUGAGCAUUCAUCACUCAAGUUCUUUCAGCAGCCACCAUCAGCGGCACCUGACCUCUUGUAAGCAGCCAAAAAAAGGGGAUGGCAUGGUCACAGCAUACAGUACACAGACGGGGACAGUCAAAGGAUUGGCUUACUCGCUCACUGUGAAGGGGCACCUGAGACUGUGAUCACCUUAUACGAAAGCGCUCCAAGGUAGCUGUGCCCAUCUGCUGACCUCCCGGGCAGCACACUCGACGCCAUGAUCCUGGAUGGGAAACAUACUGGCGGUGACCCUUGGCUGUAUUUCCAUGUGCUCAAGAAAACAAGCAUUCUGCAAGAUACAGCACCCCAGUUUGACUUGAGCAAUG
rnacentral:lncRNA from 1 species